rnacentral:rRNA from 1 species
UACAGAGGUGGCAAGCGUUGUUCGGAAUUACUGGGCGUAAAGGGCGCGUAGGCGGCUUUUUAAGUCAGACGUGAAAUCCCCCGGCUUAACCUGGGAACUGCGUCUGAUACUGGGAAGCUUGAGUUCGGGAGAGGGAUGUAGAAUUCCAGGUGUAGCGGUGAAAUGCGUAGAUAUCUGGAGGAACACCGAUGGCGAAGGCGGGUCUCUGGGCCGAUACUGACGCUGAGGAGCGAAAGCGUGGGGAGCGAACAGG